UUUUAAUUUCAAUUAUACAUGUGCCUUAAGUAGUAACCAUUAAGAGGUUGUUGUUAGAUUUAAAUCCACCUUUUAAUGUACUACUUAUGACAAAUGCAUAGCAAAUCAGCAAAUCGA
rnacentral:pre_miRNA from 1 species